CCCGCCCCCGCCCCCGGCCUGUUUCCUGGAGGCCCGGGUUCCCAAAGCUCCUGCUUCUGCGGAAUGAAAGGAAGCGUCCGCGUCGGGAAUGCGUCCAGUCUCCAGGCAACAGGGUGUUAAUCUUUCUCCCUUUGCAUGGACUACAUCAACCAUAGCCCACUGGUGGAGGCCAAGGACUCUGGAGCCAGGCUGCCUGGAGAGACAGUAUAAGGUGGAGGUUAAGAAGAGAAUGGACUCUGGGGCCAGACCGUUUGGAUUCAGAUUUUGGUUCCAUCACUGACUGUGUGACCCCACGUGGGACCGUCGGCGGAGCCGGCCCCAGGAUGUCCCUGGGGUGCGGAUGAGCGGCUGCCCAGGCCCGGAUGCCGCCGCCCCGCCAGGGCCGCUCCGCGAGGGCCGCCGCCGGCCCUGCGCCCUAGCCUCGCGCCCCGG